rnacentral:rRNA from 1 species
CACGCCGUAAACGAUGUCAACUAGCCGUUGGGAGCCUUGAGCUCUUAGUGGCGCAGCUAACGCAUUAAGUUGACCGCCUGGGGAGUACGGCCGCAAGGUUAAAACUCAAAUGAAUUGACG